GGGUUGUGAGGUUAAGCGACUAAGCGUACACGGUGGAUGCCCUGGCAGUCAGAGGCGAUGAAGGGCGUGCUAAUCUGCGAUAAGCGCCGGUAAGGUGAUAUGAACCGUUAUAACCGGCGAUACCCGAAUGGGGAAACCCAGUGUGACUCGUCACACUAUCAUUAACUGAAUCCAUAGGUUAAUGAGGCGAACCGGGGGAACUGAAACAUCUAAGUACCCCGAGGAAAAGAAAUCAACCGAGAUUCCCCCAGUAGCGGCGAGCGAACGGGGAGGAGCCCAGAGCCUGAAUCAGCAUGUGUGUUAGUGGAAGCGUCUGGAAAGGCGCGCGAUACAGGGUGACAGCCCCGUACACAAAAGCGCAUGUGCUGUGAGCUCGAUGAGUAGGGCGGGACACGUGGUAUCCUGUCUGAAUAUGGGGGGACCAUCCUCCAAGGCUAAAUACUCCUGACUGACCGAUAGUGAACCAGUACCGUGAGGGAAAGGCGAAAAGAACCCCGGCGAGGGGAGUGAAAAAGAACCUGAAACCGUGUACGUACAAGCAGUGGGAGCACAGGUUUACCUGUGUGACUGCGUACCUUUUGUAUAAUGGGUCAGCGACUUAUAUUCUGUAGCAAGGUUAACCGAAUAGGGGAGCCGGAGGGAAACCGAGUCUUAAUUGGGCGUUAAGUUGCAGGGUAUAGACCCGAAACCCGGUGAUCUAGCCAUGGGCAGGUUGAAGGUUGGGUAACACUAACUGGAGGACCGAACCGACUAAUGUUGAAAAAUUAGCGGAUGACCUGUGGCUGGGGGUGAAAGGCCAAUCAAACCGGGAGAUAGCUGGUUCUCCCCGAAAGCUAUUUAGGUAGCGCCUCGUGAAUUCAUCUCCGGGGGUAGAGCACUGUUUCGGCUAGGGGGCCAUCCCGGCUUACCAACCCGAUGCAAACUGCGAAUACCGGAGAAUGUUAUCACGGGAGACACACGGCGGGUGCUAACGUCCGUCGUGAAGAGGGAAACAACCCAGACCGCCAGCUAAGGUCCCAAAGUCAUGGUUAAGUGGGAAACGAUGUGGGAAGGCCCAGACAGCCAGGAUGUUGGCUUAGAAGCAGCCAUCAUUUAAAGAAAGCGUAAUAGCUCACUGGUCGAGUCGGCCUGCGCGGAAGAUGUAACGGGGCUAAACCAUGCACCGAAGCUGCGGCAGCGAACGUAUCACUUAAAGCGAUUCAGCGGGUUACGAUUGACGGAGCGAAGCGACGUCAAAGCGUAUACAAAGUCGAGUCGGUUUAAGGAUACGUUCGUUGGGUAGGGGAGCGUUCUGUAAGCCUGUGAAGGUGGCCUGUGAGGGUUGCUGGAGGUAUCAGAAGUGCGAAUGCUGACAUAAGUAACGAUAAAGCGGGUGAAAAGCCCGCUCGCCGGAAGACCAAGGGUUCCUGUCCAACGUUAAUCGGGGCAGGGUGAGUCGACCCCUAAGGCGAGGCCGAAAGGCGUAGUCGAUGGGAAACGGGUUAAUAUUCCCGUACUUGGUGUUACUGCGAAGGGGGGACGGAGAAGGCUAUGUUGGCCGGGCGACGGUUGUCCCGGUUUAAGCGUGUAGGCUGGUUUUCCAGGCAAAUCCGGAAAAUCAAGGCUGAGGCGUGAUGACGAGGCACUACGGUGCUGAAGCAACAAAUGCCCUGCUUCCAGGAAAAGCCUCUAAGCAUCAGGUAACAUCAAAUCGUACCCCAAACCGACACAGGUGGUCAGGUAGAGAAUACCAAGGCGCUUGAGAGAACUCGGGUGAAGGAACUAGGCAAAAUGGUGCCGUAACUUCGGGAGAAGGCACGCUGACACGUAGGUGAAGUGAUUUACUCAUGGAGCUGAAGUCAGUCGAAGAUACCAGCUGGCUGCAACUGUUUAUUAAAAACACAGCACUGUGCAAACACGAAAGUGGACGUAUACGGUGUGACGCCUGCCCGGUGCCGGAAGGUUAAUUGAUGGGGUCAGCGCAAGCGAAGCUCCUGAUCGAAGCCCCGGUAAACGGCGGCCGUAACUAUAACGGUCCUAAGGUAGCGAAAUUCCUUGUCGGGUAAGUUCCGACCUGCACGAAUGGCGUAAUGAUGGCCAGGCUGUCUCCACCCGAGACUCAGUGAAAUUGAACUCGCUGUGAAGAUGCAGUGUACCCGCGGCAAGACGGAAAGACCCCGUGAACCUUUACUAUAGCUUGACACUGAACAUUGAGCCUUGAUGUGUAGGAUAGGUGGGAGGCUUUGAAGUGUGGACGCCAGUCUGCAUGGAGCCGACCUUGAAAUACCACCCUUUAAUGUUUGAUGUUCUAACGUGGACCCGUAAUCCGGGUUGCGGACAGUGUCUGGUGGGUAGUUUGACUGGGGCGGUCUCCUCCUAAAGAGUAACGGAGGAGCACGAAGGUUGGCUAAUCCUGGUCGGACAUCAGGAGGUUAGUGCAAUGGCAUAAGCCAGCUUGACUGCGAGCGUGACGGCGCGAGCAGGUGCGAAAGCAGGUCAUAGUGAUCCGGUGGUUCUGAAUGGAAGGGCCAUCGCUCAACGGAUAAAAGGUACUCCGGGGAUAACAGGCUGAUACCGCCCAAGAGUUCAUAUCGACGGCGGUGUUUGGCACCUCGAUGUCGGCUCAUCACAUCCUGGGGCUGAAGUAGGUCCCAAGGGUAUGGCUGUUCGCCAUUUAAAGUGGUACGCGAGCUGGGUUUAGAACGUCGUGAGACAGUUCGGUCCCUAUCUGCCGUGGGCGCUGGAGAACUGAGGGGGGCUGCUCCUAGUACGAGAGGACCGGAGUGGACGCAUCACUGGUGUUCGGGUUGUCAUGCCAAUGGCACUGCCCGGUAGCUAAAUGCGGAAGAGAUAAGUGCUGAAAGCAUCUAAGCACGAAACUUGCCCCGAGAUGAGUUCUCCCUGAGACUUAGAGUCUCCUGAAGGAACGUUGAAGACGACGACGUUGAUAGGCCGGGUGUGUAAGCGCAGCGAUGCGUUGAGCUAACCGGUACUAAUGAACCGUGAGGCUUAACCUUACAACGCCGAAGGUGUUU
rnacentral:rRNA from 1 species